GCAAAAGUUCUUUCGCGCAGACGACAGUCCAAGUUCAACGUGACAGCACAGAACUUGUUUAGAAUAUCUUGACUUUUGUCAAAUGUAUGACGGACUUUUUCAUUCAUGCCGGAUUGGACCCGCCAUUGAAAACGCCACGAUUAAGGCCUUUCUGGGCUCAUCAUUUCGAAGAAAUCAAAAGCCAUGACAAGGCUGUCUGUCGCCCUCGUUUGGUGAAACGUGACAAAGUGGAGCUUUAUACACGAUGGGAAUUU